rnacentral:misc_RNA from 1 species
AAGUCGUAACAAGGUAACCGUAGGUGAACCUGCGGUUGGAUCAUUACAAAUCCUGACUCGCAAGAGUCUUCAACCCCAUGUGCACUCGUUAUUGUUUCUGGGUGUCCUGUUUAAGGCGCCCAAUCUUAUAAAUCUUACUAUCUGUCUGAUAUUUUAAAUAAUAAAAAAACAACUUUUGACAACGGAUCUCUUGGCUCUC